CCUACGGGUGGCAGCAGUCGAGAAUCAUUCACAAUGGGGGAAACCCUGAUGGUGCGACGCCGCGUGGGGGAAUGAAGGUCUUCGGAUUGUAAACCCCUGUCAUGUGGGAGCAAAUUAAAAAGAUAGUACCACAAGAGGAAGAGACGGCUAACUCUGUGCCUGCAGCCGCGGUAAUACAGAGGUCUCAAGCGUUGUUCGGAAUCACUGGGCGUAAAGCGUGCGUAGGCUGUUUCGUAAGUCGUGUGUGAAAGGCCCGGGCUCAACCCGCGGACGGCACAUGAUACUGCGAGACUAGAGUAAUGGAGGGGGAACCGGAAUUCUCGGUGUAGCAGUGAAAUGCGUAGAUAUCGAGAGGAACACUCGUGGCGAAGGCGGGUUCCUGGACAUUAACUGACGCUGAGGCACGAAGGCCAGGGGAGCGAAAGGGAUUAGAUACCCCGGUAGUC
rnacentral:rRNA from 1 species